AGGUGAAAUUUGAUAGUUGUGUGAGAAUUAUUUUUUCUUGGAGUGUUUUUGAAGUCAUGAAGGUUUAGAGAUAAAAUAAGAUUAGAUACCUUAGUAUACUAGACUUUAAAUUAUAUACUAGAUUAAUAAUUAGUUAUUAUCUAUAAAAUUAAAAGAUUUGGCGGUGUAAUAGUCUCGUUAGAGGAACCUGUUCUGUAAACGAUGUGCCACGAAUUAUCUUACUUUACUUUGUUAUAUUUUUGCAGUUUGUAUACCGUCAUUAUGAAGUAAUUUUUAUAGAAGUUUAGUGAGACUAACUGGUUGUGUGUGAUUCGCAAUCAAUUUAAUAUUUUAGAUCAAGGUGCAGCUGAUGGUAAAGAGAGAAAUGGGUUACAAUUAUUUAAGGUAAAUUAUGAAUUCGUUUUUUAAAAGGGCGAUGAAGGUGGAUUUAAUUGUAAUAGAAUUAUAAUAAGUUUUUAUGAUAGUGGCUCUGUUAUGUGUA
rnacentral:rRNA from 1 species